AUUGAACGCUGCGGCAGGCUUAACACAUGCAAGUCGAGCGAGCGGCGGACGGGUGAGUAAUGCUUAGGAAUCUGCCUAUUAGCGGGGGACAACAUCUCGAAAGGGAUGCUAAUACCGCAUACUAACAGAUGAGCCUCAGUCGGGUUGGCAUGUUGGUGGGGUAAAGGCCUACCAAGGCGACGAUCUGUAGCGGGUCUGAGAGGAUGAACCCCCACAAUGGUACUGGGGCAAGGCCCAGAAUCCUACGGGGAGCAGCAGUGGGGAAUAUUGGACAAUGGGGGGAACCCUGAUCCAGCCAUGCCGCGUGUGUGAAGAAGGGCUUAUGGUUGUAAAGCACUUUAAGCGAGGAGGCGUUACUCGCAGAAUAAGCACCGGCUAACUCUGUGCCAGCAGCCGCGGUAAUUC
rnacentral:rRNA from 1 species